CAACCCUCAAGCUUAUGCUUGGUAUUGGGCACUGUCCGCCUAAGGACAGGCCUGAAACUCAUUGGCAGUAGCGCCUAGCUCCUUGCGUAGUUAAUUUCUCUUCGCAACUGGAUUCUAGGCGGUUACCCGCCAGAAAACCUUUUUAUUUUCUUAAG
rnacentral:misc_RNA from 1 species